rnacentral:rRNA from 1 species
ACGAUGAAGAACGCAGCGAAGUGCGAUAAGCAGUGCGAAUUGCAGAACCGUGAGUCAUCAGAUUUUUGAACGCAACUGGCACCGUAUGUCUUCGGACAUCGGUACGCUUGGUCCAGUGUCUUUUUCUUUCAUGACCUAAAUCUUUAUGCGGGAGAUGCCCUUCUACCGCUAAGCAUGAAAGCACUCUGCGAUUUGCGAGCAACUUCGGUUGCACUCAAUGCAGCAGUCACAUUGCUUACAGUGUGAACUCAUUGAGAGCAGACGCAGCGCGGCAAUAGCUGCAAGUGCUUAGUCAUUUCAACUUCGAAACCGUAUCUGGGCUCAAGUGGGACUACCCGCUGAACUUAAGCAUAUCACUAAGCGGAGGAAAAGAAACUAACUAGGAUGGCCUUAGUAAUGGCGAAUGAAGAGGCCAAAGCCCAAGAUGGUAAUCUCUGUGUUUCACACAGCGAGUUGUAAUCUUGAGAGGCAUAGCUUAACGGGUCGUGGCGCAGAAGUGCCUCUGGAACGGACCGCCAUAGAGGGUGACAGCCCCGUACGUGGUGCCGCGACUUACCUAGCUUGUCUUCGAAGAGUCGGGUUGUUUUGUAUUGCAGCCCUAAGUGGGAGAUAAACUUCUUCUAAGGCUAAAUAUAUGUAGGAAACCGAUAGCGAACAAGUACUGUGAAGGAAAGAUGAAAAGCACUUUGGAAAGAGAGUUAAAAGACCUGAAAUCGUUGAGACGGAAGGGGUAGAGAAGUAUACUUCGGCACCUAGCGGGGCUAACUUGUUAGGGGUCGUGAGGCCUGAUGGGGUAGUUUUGAUGCAGAGGCUUUGUAUUACCGCUUUCGGGCACCUUUUACAUUUGUCGGUAUCAAUUCUGCCUGAGGGUGCCUUGUGCGAUCAGGUCAAAAUGGUCUUUACCCACUCGUCUUGAAACACGAACCAAGGAGUCUAACGUACACGCGAGUAUGCCGGUGGAGAAACCGUCAUGCAUAAUGAAAGUGAUUGGUGCCAAGCUUACGCAGCAGCAUCGACCGACCCUAAAUAGAGGUUUGAGUAUGAGCGUGUCCGCUAGGACCCGAAAGAUGGUGAACUAUGCCUGAGUAGGGUGAAGCCAGGGGAAACUCUGGUGGAAGCUCGUAGCGAUACUGACGUGCAAAUCGUUCGUCGAACUUGGGUAUAGGGGCGAAAGACUAAUCGAACCAUCUAGUAGCUGGUUCCCUCCGAAGUUUCCCUCAGGAUAGCUGGGACAAUUACGCAGUUUUAUUAGGUAAAGCGAAUGAUUAGAGGAAUCGGGGGCUUCAUGCUCUCGACCUAUUCUCAAACUUUAAAUUGGUAAGAACCUGUGCCUUUCUUAAGUGAGGCAUGGGGCUCAAUGCGUGUCCUUAGUGGGCCAUUUUUGGUAAGCAGAACUGGCGAUGAGGGUUGCUCCUAACGUUGGGUUAAGGCGCCAAAAUGCGCGCUCAUCAGAAACUACAAAGGGUGUUGGUCCAUCCAGACAGCAGGACGGUGGCCAUGGGAGUUGGAAUCCGCUAAGGAGUGUGUAACAACUCACCUGCCGAAUGGACCAGCCCCGAAAAUGGAUGGCGCUCAAGCGCGCUGCCGAUACCCAACCAUUGGUACGAGAGUGAGGUACCAAUGUGUAGGAGGGCGUGGGCGUUGUUUUGAAGCCUCUGGCGUAAGCCUGGGUUGAACAGCGUCUAGUGCAGAUCUUGGUGGUAGUA